AUAUUUUUGUUAAAAAGUUGAACCAAUAGUGAGAAGCGAAUUGUCAUGAUGGGUUGUAGAGAGUAUCUCAAAGUUUCUGAGAAUCUUUCUACACUCUCUCUCCUUCAUUUUUAUUAUUUUUAUUUUUUUAAUUGUGAGAAACUCUUAUGAGAAACCCCCAAUAGAGAUGGUUUUAGUUUGAAUCUCAAGUCCGUCACGAUCACCACGAGGACCCCCACCACCAAAAAGCUUCUCCAUCUCCUCCAAUGGCAAUCCUUUCGUCUCCGGCAACAUAAAGAAGAAGAACCACCAUGCCGCCACCGCUAUUCCGGCGAAUACGAAGAACACGCCCCCUGUCGUGAUCGCCUUCGUCAUCGACAG
rnacentral:sRNA from 1 species